rnacentral:rRNA from 1 species
UACGAGGGGGGCGAGCGUUGUUCGGAAUUAUUGGGCGUAAAGGGUGCGCAGGCGGUUUGGUAAGUUUGGUGUGAAAUCUUCGGGCUCAACUCGAAGCCUGCACGGGAUACUGCCGGGCUUGAGUGUGGGAGAGGUGAGUGGAAUUUCCGGUGUAGCGGUGAAAUGCGUAGAUAUCGGAAGGAACACCUGUGGCGAAAGCGGCUCACUGGACCAAAACUGACGCUGAGGCACGAAAGCUAGGGGAGCAAACAGG